rnacentral:rRNA from 1 species
AGAGAAUAGAUACCCUGGUAGUCCACGCCGUAAACGAUGGAUGCUAGCUGUUGGCAGGCUUGCCUGUCAGUGGCGCAGCUAACGCAUUAAGCAUCCCGCCUGGGGAGUACGGUCGCAAGAUUAAAAACUCAAAGGAAUUGACGGGGGCCCGCACAAGCGGUGGAGCAUGUGGUUCAAUUCGAAGCAACGCGCAGAACCUUACCAACCUUUGACAUGUCCCGCAUGAGCACCAGAGAUGGAGUUCUUCAGUUCGGCUGGCGGGAACACAGGUGCUGCAUGGCUGUCGUCAGCUCGUGUCGUGACGAUGUUGGUUAAGUCCCGCAACGAGCGCAACCCUGCCCUUAGUUGCCAUCAUUCAGUUGGGCACUCUAAGGGGACUGCCGGUGAUAAGCCGCGAGGAAGUGGGAUGACGUCAAGUCCUCAUGGCCCUUACAGGUUGGGCUACACACGUGCUACAAU